GCUUGCUGUUUCGCUGACGAGUGGCGGACGGGUGAGUAAUGUCUGGGAAACUGCCUGAUGGAGGGGGAUAACUACUGGAAACGGUAGCUAAUACCGCAUAACGUCGCAAGACCAAAGAGGGGGACCUUCGGGCCUCUUGCCAUCGGAUGUGCCCAGAUGGGAUUAGCUUGUUGGUGGGGUAACGGCUCACCWAGGCGACGAUCCCUAGCUGGUCUGAGAGGAUGACCAGCCACACUGGAACUGAGACACGGUCCAGACUCCUACGGGAGGCAGCAGUGGGGAAUAUUGCACAAUGGGCGCAAGCCUGAUGCAGCCAUGCCGCGUGUAUGAAGAAGGCCUUCGGGUUGUAAAGUACUUUCAGCGGGGAGGAAGGGAGUAAAGUUAAUACCUUUGCUCAUUGACGUUACCCGCAGAAGAAGCACCGGCUAACUCCGUGCCAGCAGCCGCGGUAAUACGGAGGGUGCAAGCGUUAAUCGGAAUUACUGGGCGUAAAGCGCACGCAGGCGGUUUGUUAAGUCAGAUGUGAAAUCCCCGGGCUCAACCUGGGAACUGCAUCUGAUACUGGCAAGCUUGAGUCUCGUAGAGGGGGGUAGAAUUCCAGGUGUAGCGGUGAAAUGCGUAGAGAUCUGGAGGAAUACCGGUGGCGAAGGCGGCCCCCUGGACGAAGACUGACGCUCAGGUGCGAAAGCGUGGGGAGCAAACAGGAUUAGAUACCCUGGUAGUCCACGCCGUAAACGAUGUCGACUUGGAGGUUGUGCCCUUGAGGCGUGGCUUCCGGAGCUAACGCGUUAAGUCGACCGCCUGGGGAGUACGGCCGCAAGGUUAAAACUCAAAUGAAUUGACGGGGGCCCGCACAAGCGGUGGAGCAUGUGGUUUAAUUCGAUGCAACGCGAAGAACCUUACCUGGUCUUGACAUCCACGGAAGUUUUCAGAGAUGAGAAUGUGCCUUCGGGAACCGUGAGACAGGUGCUGCAUGGCUGUCGUCAGCUCGUGUUGUGAAAUGUUGGGUUAAGUCCCGCAACGAGCGCAACCCUUUAUCCUUUGUUGCCAGCGGUCCGGCCGGGAACUCAAAGGAGACUGCCAGUGAUAAACUGGAGGAAAGGUGGGGGAUGACGUCAAGUCAUCAUGG
rnacentral:rRNA from 1 species